rnacentral:sRNA from 1 species
ACCGGGACUCAGAUUCUCCCCAGACGCCAAGGUUGCGGGUCAUGGAGUCCCGAACCCUCCUCCUGCUGUUCUCGGGAGCCGUGGCCCUGAUCCAGACCUGGGCAGAUUACAAUUACAAUCAAGGCAGAAAUGAUCUCAUUUUUACAUUACAACUCUGGAAAAGGCAAUAGACUGAGAUGCAAGUGUGCCCCCAAGUGAUGGGCAGAAGGAGAGAAGGUGUUUUGGAUGCAUUCUAGAACACAGGUAAUCUAAGGAGAGUUGAUCAAGGCCGUGGAAGAGUCCUCCAGCCACUAUUGGCCAUCAAAGGAGUCCUCUGUGUCCCAGGAAUGGUCCUGCUUUGGUGUCCCUGGUGUGACCCAUCACCCGCUGGGAACAGCCUGAGAGAAGUAGGGCCUCUGCACCAAUGCUGCUGAGGAUGUCAGAGCACAGGAACGAGGCCUUGGGAAAUUACCUGGAAAUGCGACUGAAAUCUUCCUUCCUGAGGGGUCUGGGCUCUUGGAAAUCAAACCCUCUCAGGUUGGGUGGCUGGACGAUUCUCCUCACACUUACAAUGGGACAAGGGGAACCAGGAGGCCCCCAAGGGGAUCCCUGGGUUCCACACGAACUCCUCCUACCCUCAUUGUGUGACAGCAGCCAUGCCUCCUCCUGGGGAUCAGGAUCUAUUACCUGUGCCUGGAGAGGAGGGGACUCCUCUUCUCACCCGCUGGUCUCUGGACACAUACUGUCCAAUUCCCCUGUGGCAGCUGUAAUGUGUAGUUCAAUGGGCACUCGUUUGUCCCCUUUUAAGGGUACCCUCCUUUAGAAUCCAGGACCUUCUACCCUGCAGAGUGUGGUUUUGGGAGAGAAGUGCAAAAUCCCACGACAGGUGAGUUGAAGGAAUGGGAUAUGGAGCCACAUCCACUUCCACCCCUUGGUAUCUGGACCCACGUGUUCUUCCUACUGAGAUUACAGAACUGUAGAGAUGUCUUUGAUUUUUAAAAUGCACCAUGUCCUGAAAGAUGGCACCCUCCCACCCGCAGAGUGCUUCCUGCAAGCUGGCGUUGAGCUGUGCCUAUAGAAGCUCUUUUCAACAUUCUUUAUGGCCAGCAGCCCUUGGUUGGUGCAGAUGGUGAUAGGACCAGUGGGUCCCACAGCAUGGCCACACUGCACCUCCUUCGCUGUCAAGUGGGUCCCCCACGAAGAUACUGCACGGAGAGCAGUGCCAAGCCUGUGGAUCAGGAAUAUCAACAGCCCCCAGAGAGUGGUGCUGGCUGAGGGUCUGAGAGCAGGACAGGAAAACCCACCUAUGGAAUAGGUGCCUAUCCCUGUGAAGAUGAACCUCUGGCCCUUCCAGGAUGGAAGGAGUGCAAUGUAGUCAACUCCUCACUUAGGGUCUGGUUGGUCACCUAAAGAAAUAGAGCCCUACCAGGGAAGAUCAUUGGGUUCAAAUGCUGAUGAGUAGGACAUUUAGAGGUGGCAGUGUCUGGAUCUACCUUGGUAGGAGGGAGUCAGUACUGUUGGACCCAUAGGUAGCCUCAUCCCUGCCACUGUGUUUGCUCCAUUUAUGUACCCAUCCUACCCGGCCUGGGCUGACCCAUGGGGAAGGCUGGCUAAUUUCAGUGCUUCUGCUUGGUUGUUCAGGGCCAUUUCAGGUUUGGGUGUUUUCUGGGGAUGUUAACAUGGGAUUCAGGCUCAACUCACAAGAAACUUUUCCAUCUCAUGAUGGAUGCUGUUGGGCAUGUCCAAUGUAUGACUUCAUGAGUUACACAGAUGCUAAUUCGUAGGGGCACUUGGAAUCACAUGGUUGUUUUGUGUCCCAUGGUCAAGCAUUCUAUCUUAUCAGGGCCUACAGUAACAUGCCAAAAGUUGCUUCCAACAUAUUUCUCUGCUUUGGAUGGGGCAUAUUUCUGUGCUGUGGAUGACAUGGCCUUACUCCAGAAUCCCAGGCCCUCCACUGUGACUCUCCUACUGGUGCUUGGUUCAGCUCCACCCCAAAUCUUACCCCACCACUGGCACUUUCAGCACCAGGGGGUCUGAAGGAUGGUGACUGCGCCAUGGCCUGGAUCUGCUGCAGUGUCCUUUCCUGUGGAGGCUCCACUCAAAGCUGGCAUCCUCCUAUGUCACCUAGAGUGUGGGUCAAAGCAAUACACCUACAUGUAGAAUGUGAUGUCAGAACUCAAACAGGCUCACCAGGCAGUGUGCUUCCUUCCUUGCAUGAGGAUGCAAGAUGCAACAGUUUGUCUUUCACAUUGGAAGGGACACCCCUGGAUGCCCCUAACCACUAGACCUGUAAAACUUCACUGCAGUGGCCACUUCUGAAUCUCUGUAAGGUUUAUUUAUCUUCACCCUCUGGAGAGAAGAUGUUUUACCAAAGCCUCUAGUGUACCUUCCUCCUCUUACUCAUCCAUCCCAGUCAACAUGAUGUUGUCAAUGAAAUAAAGGAAUUUAAUAUUCUAUAGUAUAUCCAGGUUCUCCAGAUCUCUUAAGACUGUACUAUAGAGGCCUGGGGAAUUAUAAUAGCCCUGAGGCAAACUAUAAAUUAAAGUGUUGUGGAUCCCACAUGAA